rnacentral:rRNA from 1 species
AACGAACGCUGGCGGCGUGCUUAACACAUGCAAGUCGAACGCGAAAAUUUUCCUCGGAAAGUGAGUAGAGUGGCGCACGGGUGAGUAACGCGUAAGUUAUCUACCUCGGCAUCUGGAAUAACUCACCGAAAGGUGUGCUAAUACCGGAUACGUUGAGUAAUCAAGAAAGGUGGCCUCUGAAUAUGCUACUGUGCUGAGAUGAGCUUGCGUACCAUUAGCUAGUUGGUAGGGUAAUGGCCUACCAAGGCAACGAUGGUUAGCGGGUCUGAGAGGAUGAUCCGCCACACUGGAACUGAAACACGGACCAGACUCCUACGGGAGGCUG